GUGGGGAAUCUUGCGCAAUGGGCGAAAGCCUGACGCAGCCAUGCCGCGUGAAUGAUGAAGGUCUUAGGAUUGUAAAAUUCUUUCACCGGGGACGAUAAUGACGGUACCCGGAGAAGAAGCCCCGGCUAACUUCGUGCCAGCAGCCGCGGUAAUACGAAGGGGGCUAGCGUUGCUCGGAAUUACUGGGCGUAAAGGGCGCGUAGGCGGACAGUUUAGUCAGAGGUGAAAGCCCAGGGCUCAACCUUGGAAUUGCCUUUGAUACUGGCUGGCUUGAGUUUGGGAGAGGUGAGUGGAACUCCGAGUGUAGAGGUGAAAUUCGUAGAUAUUCGGAAGAACACCAGUGGCGAAGGCGACUCACUGGCCCAAUACUGACGCUGAGGCGCGAAAGCGUGGGGAGCAAACAGGAUUAGAAACCCCUGUAGUCC
rnacentral:rRNA from 1 species